rnacentral:rRNA from 1 species
UACAGAGGGUGCAAGCGUUGUUCGGAAUUACUGGGCGUAAAGCGUGCGCAGGCGGUUUGUUAAGUCUGCUGUGAAAUCCCCGAGCUCAACUUGGGAAUUGCAGUGGAUACUGGCAGGCUGGAGUAUGGUAGAGGAAGGUGGAAUUCCCGGUGUAGCAGUGAAAUGCGUAGAGAUCGGGAGGAACACCAGUGGCGAAGGCGGCCUUCUGGACCAAUACUGACGCUCAUGCACGAAAGCGUGGGGAGCAAACAGG